rnacentral:lncRNA from 1 species
CUUUCUUCUCUCGUCAUCCAUCCCAUACUGCCCCAGAUUUCCUCUCAGGAACCCAGGAACCUGUGGAUGCAGGCCGCUACAGAUGGUGCCCGUGUGCACGUUAUUUGCCACUUGGGUGCAGAGGCCAAAAGAGAGCAUCGGGUGUCACAAAGCUAGAGUUACAGGUGGUUGCAAACUGCCGGGUGGGGACUUCUAAAAGAGAAGCAAGAGUUCUUAAUUCUUAAGCCUUGAGCCAUCACACUGAGUCCCUGACAUACUCCACUUUAUGAUUAUCUUGACUUCUGAAUGAACUCAACUACCGGGGAAACCACAACUUGUUCCAGAAGCCAUGCCACCCUGGUAAAAAUCACAAUUCCCCUGAGCAAAUAGCCACGCCUCUCUUAUCAACAGCCAAUCAGUUCUUGAGGGGAAAGUACCUAAUGCCUAAAGUAGAUUGGUUAAGUGAGCAACCAUUGUUCAUAACAAACUGAAAUCAUUACUAGCCAAUAGAAGUGCGACAAGCAAAUGUCAACCAAUCAUGUAACUGCCAAGUUGGAAAGUCCCUUAUCCUGCUGCAACCAUGAUAAAUAGGCAGGACUUGUACCAGCUUAGCACCUUCCACACCUUUCACUGUGCUGGAAAGGUUAGAGGGUCUGAACCAGAGCUUGAAUAAAGACUCUUUGCUUUUGCAUAUG